ACGCUCUUACACCUGGCAGCAAUGUCAGUUGUUGAGGGAGUGGCGCAAGGGUGCGUAACACGUGGGUAAUUUGCCGUGAAGUUGGGGAUAACCCCGAGAAAUCGGGGCUAAUACCGGAUGUGGAUCCUGGGAGGCAUCUUUUGGGACCUGAAGCUGGGGACCGCAAGGCCUGGCGCUUCACGAUAAGCCCGCGGCCUAUCAGCUAGUUGGUGAGGUAACGGCUCACCAAGGCUAAGACGGGUAGCUGGUCUGAGAGGACGACCAGCCACACUGGAACUGAGACACGGUCCAGACACCUACGGGUGGCAGCAGUCGAGAAUUUUUCUCAAUGGGCGCAAGCCUGAAGGAGCGACGCCGCGUGGGGGAUGAAGGGCUUCGGUCCGUAAACCCCUGUCAUCUGGGAACAAUUCCUGUUUGUUAAUAGCGGGCAGGUUGAUAGUACCGGAAGAGGAAGGGACGACUAACUCUGUGCCAGCAGCCGCGGUAAUACAGAGGUCCCGAGCGUUGUUCGGAUUCACUGGGCGUAAAGGGUGCGUAGGUGGCUUGGAAAGUCUGAUGUGAAAUCUCGGAGCUCAACUUCGAAAUGGCAUUGGAUACUACUGAGCUUGAGGUUCGGAGGGGAGACUGGAAUUCUUGGUGUAGCAGUGAGAUGCGUAGAUAUCAAGAGGAACACCGGUGGCGAAGGCGAGUCUCUGGACGGAUCCUGACACUGAGGCACGAAAGCUAGGGGAGCAAACAGGAUUAGAUACCCUGGUAGUCCUAGCCGUAAACGGUGCACGUUUGCUGUGAGAGGAAUCGACCCCUUUCGUGGCGAAGCUAACGCGAUAAACGUGCCGCCUGGGAAGUACGGUCGCAAGAUUAAAACUCAAAGAAAUUGACGGGGGCCUGCACAAGCGGUGGA
rnacentral:rRNA from 1 species